CUACACACGUGUUACAAUGGGGGGUACAGAGGGCCGCUACCACGCGAGUGGAUGCCAAUCCCUAAAACCCCUCUCAGUUCGGACUGGAGUCUGCAACCCGACUCCACGAAGCUGGAUUCGCUAGUAAUCGCGGAUCAGAAUGCCGCGGUGAAUACGUUCCCGGGCCUUGUACACACCGCCCGUCAAGCCAUGGGAGCCGGGGGCGCCUGAAGUCCGGGACCGCGAGGACCGGCCUAGGGCGAAACUGGUGACUGGGCUAAGUCGUAACAAGGUAAC
rnacentral:rRNA from 1 species